AUUGAACGCUGGCGGCAGGCCUAACACAUGCAAGUCGACCAGGGGCGGACGGGGGGGGAAUGUCUGGGAAACUUCCCUAAGGGGGGGGAUAACUACUGGAAACGGUAGCUAAUAACGCAUACCAUCAGGUGGGCCCAGAUGGGGUUAGCCUGGUGGUGGGGUAACGGCUCACCAAGGCGGAGAUCCCUUACUGGUCUGAGAGGAUGACCAGCCACACUGGAACUUAGACACGGUCCAGACUCCUACGGGAGGCAGCAGUGGGGAAUAUUGCACAAUGGGCGCAAGCCUGAUGCAGCCAUGCCGCGUGUAUGAAGAAGGCCUUCGGGUUGUAAAGUACUUUCAGCGGGGAGGCGUUACCCGCAGAAGAAGCACCGGCUAACUCCGUGCCAGCAGCCGCGGUAAUAC
rnacentral:rRNA from 1 species